GAUGAAUGCUGGCGGCGUGCCUAAUACAUGCAAGUCGAGCGGUAAGGCCCUUCGGGGUACACGAGCGGCGGACGGCUGAGUAACGCGUGGGAACAUGCCCCAAAGUGAGGGAUAACGCACCGAAAGGUGUGCUAAUACCGCAUAUGGUCUUCGGAUUAAAGGAUUUAUCCGCUUUGGGAGUGGCCCGCGUACGAUUAGAUUGUUGGUGAGGUAACGGCUCACCAAGUCGACGAUCGUUAACUGGUCUGAGAGGAUGAUCAGUCAGACUGGAACUGAGACACGGUCCAGACUCCUACGGGAGGCAGCAGUAAGGAAUCUUCCACAAUGGGCGAAAGCCUGAUGGAGCAACGCCGCGUGCAGGAUGAAGGCCCUCGGUCGUAAACUGCUUUAUGAGUGAAGAAUAUGACGGUAACUCAUGAAUAAGCACCGGCUAACUACGUGCCAGCAGCCGCGGUAA
rnacentral:rRNA from 1 species